rnacentral:rRNA from 1 species
GGGAGGCAGCAGUAGGGAAUCUUCCACAAUGGACGCAAGUCUGAUGGAGCAACGCCGCGUGAGUGAAGAAGGCUUUCGGGUCGUAAAACUCUGUUGUUGGAGAAGAAUGGUCGGCAGAGUAACUGUUGUCGGCGUGACGGUAUCCAACCAGAAAGCCACGGCUAACUACGUGCCAGCAGCCGCGGUAAUACGUAGGUGGCAAGCGUUAUCCGGAUUUAUUGGGCGUAAAGCGAGCGCAGGCGGUUUUUUAAGUCUGAUGUGAAAGCCCUCGGCUUAACCGAGGAAGCGCAUCGGAAACUGGGAAACUUGAGUGCAGAAGAGGACAGUGGAACUCCAUGUGUAGCGGUGAAAUGCGUAGAUAUAUGGAAGAACACCAGUGGCGAAGGCGGCUGUCUGGUCUGUAACUGACGCUGAGGCUCGAAAGCAUGGGUAGCGAACAGGAUUAGAUACCCUGGUAGUCCAUGCCGUAAACGAUGAAUGCUAGGUGUUGGAGGGUUUCCGCCCUUCAGUGCCGCAGCUAACGCAUUAAGCAUUCCGCCUGGGGAGUACGACCGCAAGGUUGAAACUCAAAGGAAUUGACGGGGGCCCGCACAAGCGGUGGAGCAUGUGGUUUAAUUCGAAGCAACGCGAAGAACCUUACCAGGUCUUGACAUCUUUUGAUCACCUGAGAGAUCAGGUUUCCCCUUCGGGGGCAAAAUGACAGGUGGUGCAUGGUUGUCGUCAGCUCGUGUCGUGAGAUGUUGGGUUAAGUCCCGCAACGAGCGCAACCCUUAUGACUAGUUGCCAGCAUUUAGUUGGGCACUCUAGUAAGACUGCCGGUGACAAACCGGAGGAAGGUGGGGAUGACGUCAAAUCAUCAUGCCCCUUAUGACCUGGGCUACACACGUGCUACAAUGGAUGGUACAACGAGUUGCGAGACCGCGAGGUCAAGCUAAUCUCUUAAAGCCAUUCUCAGUUCGGACUGUAGGCUGCAACUCGCCUACACGAAGUCGGAAUCGCUAGUAAUCGCGGAUCAGCACGCCGCGGUGAAUACGUUCCCGGGCCUUGUACACACCGCCCGUCACACCAUGAGAGUUUGUAACACCCGAAGCCGGUGGCGUAACCCUUUUAGGGAGCGAG